AUCUUUCCAGUUCAUUUAAAGUGAUGAUUGGUCUAAUCACGUGACUGCGUGAAAUGUGCAACCUAUCGUUACGAUUGAGCACAUGACCUUCUGAUC